AGACAUGAUAAUGAAGGCGAAAUAAAAUUCAUUCCAUAACAUAAUUUGUUUUCACAGUUGCCCCUUGCCUUUAUUCAACACUUCCACUGCACAAUACCGCGGGCGGGCUAAUCCAAAACCGGGAAAUCGAAAAUAGGCGUGGAGUGUACCAGGCAGGAGAUCGGCCGCGGGCCAAUCUUCUGAACAAUCUUGUAUAAGAGGAAUCGGGCAUCAGUGCCUUUUCUUCUUCUUCCAACUCUUUUUGUGAUUUGGGCAGUCCGUCUGGCUCAGGGAAUGGCCGCCUCUUCUCCUCCUCUUCCAGAUUAUGAGAGUUCACUGUGGAAUGCUCAGGCACUACAGCAUCCUUGCGCAUUUUCGAGAUUUUUGUCACAAAAUGCACAUUUUCAACCAGACUUUUCACACCUCCUGAUUGCCGUACCAUUUUUACAAGAUCAUCUUUCGCGGUUUCGGAACCAGCUUCAGCUUCUGCUAUGGAUUCUUUCUGCCCAAAACCCUCAAAAGAUAUUAGAUUGAGUUGAAAUUUGGGUGAAGCAAAAAAGGACUAAUAGUAAACAGCCUUUUUGUCGAUUCUUAUUUGGGGGUUUUAAUACCCUUAAACACUGAAUAACAAAUAUCAGUUAGAAGUUAAAAGAUGGCUGUUGGUUUUUAAUUUUUUCUUAAAAAAAAAAAGUUUAGAUAAUCUCUGUUAAAGCUAAACUCAAACUCGUAAAUAUUAUGUUUAAGCUUUUGAUUAUCGUUGCUCGAAAUUCUGAAAGUUUUUAGAAUUUUUUUCAAUUGAAGAAGAAACUGUAUAGAGUUGUGUAUAGAGUUUAAUGCUUUUCAAGAUAAACUUGUUUUCAUCCCAGCUCACGAAUAUAUGAACAUUGAAGCUAGAUUCCCUCACUAAACUGGAAUUGGUUUCAAAAAUCUAUCUUAAGCUCUAGCUCUUGGGUUUUUGGAAUUCUGGAUCUUUGUGUAAUCUUUUCCAAAAAUUAAUAUAUAAAUCUGGCUGAUUAAAGAUCAAAAAAGCCUUUGCCUUUACUGAUUAAAAAAAAUGUCAAAGAAUUAGCUUCAUAGCUUUGAGCUAGUUCAAAAUGUAAAAUUCUAAGUAAUCUUUUGUAAACAGUAUGUGUAUUUGAAUGGAAAUACUGAAAUGAGCGAUCUCUGAUGUUUUAUUAUCUGUGAAAAUUACUUAAAUAUGAUGUGUUUAAGCGGAUAUAUUAUUGUAGAAUUGAGAUACCCUAGAGCAACCAAUAAUAAAUGUUAAUAAGAAGUUAACCAUCUAUCAGAAUUAAUUUCAUAGAU